UACGUAGGGGGCAAGCGUUAUCCGGAUUUACUGGGUGUAAAGGGAGCGUAGACGGUGAUGCAAGUCAGAAGUGAAAGCCCGGGGCUCAACCCCGGGACUGCUUUUGAAACUGUGUGACUAGAGUGCUGGAGAGGUAAGUGGAAUUCCUAGUGUAGCGGUGAAAUGCGUAGAUAUUAGGAGGAACACCAGUGGCGAAGGCGGCUUACUGGACAGUAACUGACGUUGAGGCUCGAAAGCGUGGGGAGCAAACAGG
rnacentral:rRNA from 1 species